UCGUCGAAGGUGUGUUGUGAGACAUGCUGGAGAAGCUACAAAAGAAAAUGUAGGCAUAAGUAACGAUAAUGCGGGCGAGAAACCCGCACGCCGAAAGACUAAGGUUUCCUCAGCUAUGCUAAUCAGCUGAGGGUUAGUCGGGACCUAACGCGAACCCGAAAGGGGUAGUGGAUGGACAACAGGUUAAUAUUCCUGUACCUGCUCUCAAUAAAAGUGACGGAGGUGUAAAUUUGGUGCGUACUGACGGAAUAGUACGUUGAAGCGAGUAGU
rnacentral:rRNA from 1 species